rnacentral:rRNA from 1 species
ACGGGUGAGUAAUGUCUGGGGAUCUGCCCGAUAGAGGGGGAUAACCACUGGAAACGGUGGCUAAUACCGCAUAACGUCGCAAGACCAAAGAGGGGGACCUGCGGGCCUCUCACUAUCGGAUGAACCCAGAUGGGAUUAGCUAGUAGGCGGGGUAACGGCCCACCUAGGCGACGAUCCCUAGCUGGUCUGAGAGGAUGACCAGCCACACUGGAACUGAGACACGGUCCAGACUCCUACGGGAGGCAGCAGUGGGGAAUAUUGCACAAUGGGCGCAAGCCUGAUGCAGCCAUGCCGCGUGUAUGAAGAAGGCCUUCGGGUUGUAAAGUACUUUCAGCGGGGAGGAAGGCAGUGAGGUUAAUAACCUUACUGAUUGACGUUACCCGCAGAAGAAGCACCGGCUAACUCCGUGCCAGCAGCCGCGGUAAUACGGAGGGUGCAAGCGUUAAUCGGAAUUACUGGGCGUAAAGCGCACGCAGGCGGUCUGUUAAGUCAGAUGUGAAAUCCCCGGGCUUAACCUGGGAACUGCAUUUGAAACUGGCAGGCUUGAGUCUCGUAGAGGGGGGUAGAAUUCCAGGUGUA